UAGUAUUAUUUACUAUUUUACACGUGCUACUAGUCUUUGUUGACACCACAAACUCGCUGACUCCAGCUGUCAAAACAACAGGCCUUUGUCGUGUUAGAACAGAAAAAGGGAACAUUUUCCGGACUUUCACAUUGAGUAACUACUCUGUUUUACACUGUGAGCUCUCCAAAUUGAUUUCCCAGUCGCGUUCCAAAAAUUCAUCCACACAAAAGUACGUUGAGAGCUACGCAAAUGAACCACUAUCACAUCCAUUGUGUAGAUUGUGUAGAUCUAGGGUGCUUUCAAGACAACUGGGAACUUGGAAAACACUUGAUCAAAUCUUGACGUCAGUGAUCUUCAGGUCGUCUCUUGUGUGAAGAGGACUUCAAGCAGACCGGAAGAUAUGGUGCUGCCAUUCAAGUUAUCAGACGUUGUUCAGCAGAUAAAGGUACAGGUAUUUUGAGUUUUUGGCAUUGAUUUUUAAAAUCCUGAACUGCUAAAGUUUAAUGUCAUAACAUUCAGCUAAUUGGUGCAUGCAACUCAACCUCAACAUGCUCAUUUUAUCAUUUGUCUGUCUCUGUCCAUCACCUCUUUCUUGGUGGGACAGGAUGAGGUUGGGGAUCCAGGGCUGGUGUUCUGUGUGUCUGUGGCUGGCACUCAUGUCCGGUGUGAAGGACUUGGCUAUGCUGACUUGGAGAAUUGUGUGCCGUGUGGCCCAGAAAUGGUGCUGAGGAUCGCCAGCAUCAGUAAACCCCAAACUACAGUAGCAGCUGGAGGGGAAGCUGUACCUAGAUGCCCCUGUCCAGAAAUAAGUCCCUGAGUUCCCCUGAAAAACAGGUUAAGGGAGAUGUGACUAUAACCCUGCGGUUGAUUCUCUCACCUGUGAGAGAAGUGGCAUACGGCACUAGAAGGAUGCUAAUAAGUGAGGGAGGACAUGGAGAAGGCCAAACAACUUUUGAAACUGCCUGGUAAAGAGGAAAAGGACUAAUUUUAUUACAAAGAGAACCCGAGGACAGCAGCACCAUGUGCAAGGAAACCAAACAGGGCCAGAAGAAAAAAUUAUUUGAGUUAGAGGAAUACUACCUGAAAGACAGCUUUGACUGUGUCAUUCAAGCCUUUGCUCUUUUCCAGGACGAUCCUCUCAUUUUCAAACCUGGUAGGUACCAUGUAAGAGUUAUGGCUGUCAAUCAAAUCAACAAAUUGAAUCCUAUGUGCAUUUAAAUGAAUUGACAGGAAAGUAAACUUUCGCAGACGACACCAUUCUACACCACACCACUAAACGCAGACGACACCAUUCUGUAUACUUCUGGCCCUUCUUUGGACACUGUGUUAAUUAACUAACCUGAAGACGAGCUUUAAUGCCAUACAUCUCUCCUUCCGUGGCCUCCAACUGCUCUUAAAUGCAAGUAAAACUAAAUGCAUGCACUUCAACCGAUCGCUGCCU